rnacentral:lncRNA from 1 species
CAAUGUUUCACAAUUGAGUUUGUUUCUGGUUAAAAGGUUCAAAGGACUAGAAAUUAAGUUUUUCCAAGCCUAAUAAACUAGUAAUAACCAAUUCAAGUGAAAAAAACUAUCAAACCGAAUAAGACAACAUGAUGAUGAUCCAUGUACUAGAGAACAUUUAAUAAAUCAAAAGAAGACUUGUUCUAAAGAGCUUUUUGUGGUCUCUAAAAGGGAUGACCAUGACGAAACUCCCAUGACUGGCCUACAUAAGUACAUAUACAGUAUGAGUUGUGAAAGAGAGAAUGAGAUAGAUACCUAAAUUAGUUUAGGUUGUAAUUUGUGUACUCCUGAAAGCUAUAUCAAAUAAUCGGAAAUAAAGAUUCUUAAAAGGACUAAAAAAUCGUCAAUUUACCUUACAUUAGCCCAAUAGGCCCAUAUAACUGGGAGAGACGAUCAACGUUUGGUAUUAUUAAUGAUAGUGGGGGCAAAGGAAAGUAGCCCAUAAAGAAACCCAAAAGAACGGAACAAAUUAAAGUAAAGAAGCCCAAUAGGCCCAUAUAACCGGAUGAGAGAGAGAGACACCGACACAGUGGAGGAGAAACCAAUUCAUGCGGCGAGGGAGAAUCCGGAGAAGAUCGGAAGCGAUGUCGGGUUACUGUCAUCUCAGUAUUAGAUAUAUUAUUCCGGUUAAUCGGAAAACAAAGAAGUCCACGUCUGGAUUUGAAAUCCGCGUUAACCAAACCAACUCUGAAUUUCUAGAUAACCGGAAAUAAUA